CCAAGGAGUGCAACAUGCGUGCGAGUCUUGGGGUGGCAAACCCUUCGGCGCAAUGAAGGUGAAGGCAGNCNUUUNNUCUGCUCAGGCAGGAGCCCCCAUCCUUGGGGGCACACUGUCGACCGAUCCCAGGCUACGCUGUGGCGGGAUUUGAGUAAGAGCGUGCCUGUUGCGACCCGAAAGAUGGUGAACUAUGCCUGACUAGGGUGAAGCCAGAGGAAACUCUGGUGGAAGCUCGUAGCGAUUCUGACGUGCAAAUCGAUCGUCAAAUUUGGGUAUAGGGGCGAAAGACUAAUCGAACCAUCUAGUAGCUGGUUCCCUCCGAAGUUUCCCUCAGGAUAGCUGGAGCCCGGUGCAGUUUUAUCAGGUAAAGCGAAUGAUUAGAGGUCUUGGGGUUGAAACAACCUCAACCUAUUCUCAAACUUUAAAUGGGUAAGAAGCUCGGCUUGCUUAGUUGAAGUCGGGCCCGGAAUGCCGGGGCUUCUAGUGGGCCAUUUUUGGUAAGCAGAACUGGCGAUGCGGGAUGAACCGAAAGCUGGGUUAAGGUGCCCGAGUCGACGCUCAUCAGAUACCAUGAAAGGU
rnacentral:rRNA from 1 species